rnacentral:ncRNA from 1 species
AUCCUGUCUGAAUAUGGGGGGACCAUCCUCCAAGGCUAAAUACUCCUGACUGACCGAUAGUGAACCAGUACCGUGAGGGAAAGGCGAAAAGAACCCCGGCGAGGGGAGUGAAAAAGAACCUGAAACCGUGUACGUACAAGCAGUGGGAGCACCCUUGUGGUGUGACUGCGUACCUUUUGUAUAAUGGGUCAGCGACUUAUAUUCUGUAGCAAGGUUAACCGUAUAGGGGAGCCGAAGGGAAACCGAGUCUUAACUGGGCGUUAAGUUGCAGGGUAUAGACCCGAAACCCGGUGAUCUAGCCAUGGGCAGGUUGAAGGUUGGGUAACACUAACUGGAGGACCGAACCGACUAAUGUUGAAAAAUUAGCGGAUGACUUGUGGCUGGGGGUGAAAGGCCAAUCAAACCGGGAGAUAGCUGGUUCUCCCCGAAAGCUAUUUAGGUAGCGCCUCGUGAACUCAUCUUCGGGGGUAGAGCACUGUUUCGGCUAGGGGGUCAUCCCGACUUACCAACCCGAUGCAAACUACGAAUACCGAAGAAUGUUAUCACGGGAGACACACGGCGGGUGCUAACGUCCGUCGUGAAGAGGGAAACAACCCAGACCGCCAGCUAAGGUCCCAAAGUCAUAGUUAAGUGGGAAACGAUGUGGGAAGGCA